AGUCCUGUGGUAUUUACGCCAAAAUGCAAAUUUGGAGAAGCACCCAAAAGUGCCGGGGCUU
rnacentral:tRNA from 1 species